GCUAGAACGAACGCUGGCGGCGCGUCUUAAGCAUGCAAGUCGAACGGCAAGAGGUAGCAAUACCUCCUAGAGUGGCGGACUGGUGAGUAACACGUGGGUGACAUACCCUUCAGAUGGGGAUAGCUAUUAGAAAUAGUAGAUAAUACCGAAUACGAGCACAGGGGUUAGAGAUCUGUGAGGAAAGGAGCUAAGGCUCCGCUGAAGGAAUGGCCUGCGGCCCAUUAGCUAGUUGGUGAGGUAAGAGCCCACCAAGGCGAUGAUGGGUAUCCGGCCUUAGAGGGUGAACGGACACAUUGGGACUGAGAUACGGCCCAGACUCCUACGGGAGGCAGCAGCUAAGAAUAUUCCGCAAUGGACGAAAGUCUGACGGAGCGACGCCGCGUGGAUGAAGAAGGCCGGAAGGUUGUAAAAUCCUUUUGAAACUGAAGAAUAAGCGUUGUAGGGAAUGACAGCGUGGUGACAGUAGGUUUUGAAUAAGCAACGGCUAAUUACGUGCCAGCAGCCGC
rnacentral:rRNA from 1 species